rnacentral:rRNA from 1 species
GGACUACCGGGGUAUCUAAUCCUGUUUGCUCCCCUAGCUUUCGUGCCUCAGUGUCAGGAGUUGUCCAGGGACUCGCCUUCGCCACUGGUGUUCCGCUUGAUAUCUACGCAUUUCACUGCUACACCAAGCAUUCCAGUCCCCCCUCCAACCCUCGAGCUGGGUAGUUUCCAAUGCCAUUUCCGAGUUGAGCUCGGAGAUUUCACAUCCGACUUACCCUGCCACCUACGCACCCUUUACGCCCAGUGAAUCCGAACAACGCUUGGGACCUCUGUAUUACCGCGGCUGCUGGCAC